AUUGAAAUGUAAUUAUUAUGUGAUUGCAAUGUUCAAAAUUUGGUGUUUAAUCUGGAUUCAUGUUGUGUUGUCGCCACCUACUGGUGGACCUGAGUGUGGCGCUUUGUGGUGCGCAUGCUUUGAGGUGAUGUUCAAUUAAGCGCACAUGUCACCAGAGACUGAAGGCUCGAGACAGAAAGAGCAGGCUGGCUUGUGUAAAAGGUGAAAAUAUGGACGAUAUGGACGACAAUUGCUCCUGAAUGUUCAGUAGAAAGGCGCACACGUUUUUCACGGUGUUUGCUGGUGAAAAGAAGAUUAAAAUACUGGUUAAACAUCAGUUGGAGCAUGGCCCUUUAUUCUACUUCGAACAUGAAAACCCUUCAGGAGCAGUUAUAAUCUGGAGGAUUCAGAAACAUUCAAAGGUAUUUUAAACUGCAGCCACUGCUCUCCUCAGUCCCACUAUGGCUGGACUGAAGGUCUCAAAGGGAGCAGUGCACGGAGAUCAGGAUCACUCGGGUCCAAACACAGUCGUAGCAGACACACAGAUGUGGGUGACCUGUGGCGCUGUGUGGGCGGGGCGAGCCACAUGUGUCUGAAGGUCUCCUCACAGAAAAGCCAUCGAAGGGCCAAAGUGCUGUGAGUCUUGAUCCUUCAUUUAUGACUAAAAUAAAUGUGGAAGGUGGAGGUGGGAAGAGACUGAGGACACGAGUAACAACAAUAAAAUCAAGAGAGAAAUAAAACACAUCAAAUCAACAAAAUUAAUUUUAUAAUGGGAACAAAAAUGAAGUCAAAACAGGAACCACAGACUAAAGUGACCCAAGCAGAACAGAAAUAAUCAUCACAGUGAGACAGCACUCUGAACAUCUGUCACAUUUUCAUCUAAACUGUGAAAUAAACAGAAAGUUGGAGGAUUUAGAAACCUUAAAUAUAUUUCAUAUUGUUCAUUAUUUAAAUGUCUGAAAUCAGACUGA